ACACUCUGGCUUCUCUUCUUCUCUUCAUAACGUACAAGUCUUUCGCCUUUACUAAAGACUUCCGUGGAGACUUCGUGGAGAGCAGCGUUAAAGAGUUGCACCUAUUUUUGGCAGGGUCUGCCGUCUGGCUG
ensembl:snRNA U5 U5 spliceosomal RNA